AUUUUAACCUAAUUUUCUACAUUAUACUGGACGAUUAUUAUAUUUUAUUUUCCUAUACAUGGACAUCCAACUCGAAAAUAUUGGCCUUGAUUUCUUAGCUGAAUUUGCACAAUCGACACCCGAAACCUCCUUUAAUAAUUCCUCUAUAUCGUUAGAUAUAAAGGGGAGUUUUGUUGAGACUCCUACCAAAAAUCAUUAGAAGUGUAUUCAUUGCUCAAAAAAGUACAAAAAUACAACUUCCACAACAAAUUUAAAAAGACACUUGGGAUUAUCUCAUCCUAAUAUAAUAUCAGAAGCAUCUAUCACAACCCCUGAUGUUAUGCCCAGGGUUGCCAGGUCAAAAUUUUCAAAUUGUGGGAGAAAUUAGAUAUUUUGUGGGAGAAAUUGCUAAAAAAAAUUUUUUUGCAGGCCUUCGGCCUGCAAAGG